rnacentral:rRNA from 1 species
CCUACGGGUGGCUGCAGUCGAGAAUCUUCCACAAUGGGCGAAAGCCUGAUGGAGCGACAUUGCGUGACUGAUGAAGAGCUUCGGUUUGUAAAGGUCUUUUAUGAGGGAAGAAGUUUAUUGACGGUACCUCAUGAAUAAGGGGUUGCUAAACUCGUGCCAGCAGCAGCGGUAAUACGAGUACCCCGAGCGUUAUCCGGAAUUAUUGGGCGUAAAGGGUAUGUAGGUGGUUAUAUUAGUCGUGCGUCAAAGCCCGGAGCUUAACUUCGGAUCCGCGCACGAAACGGUAUAACUUGAGGAUGUGAGAGGUGUGUGGAACUCUAUGUGUAGGGGUGAAAUCCGUUGAUAUAUAGGGGAACACCAAAAGCGAAGGCAGCACACUGGCACAUUCCUGACACUGAAAUACGAAAGCGUGGGUAGCGAAUGGGAUUAGAUACCCUUGUAGUC